GGAAACUGGACCGACCCUUCGGGGAGCUUGUACAGGUGCUGCAUGGCUGUCGUCAGCUCGUGUCGUGAGAUGUUCGGUUAAGUCCGCUAACGAGCGCAACCCCUAUCUUUAGUAGCCAGCAAGUUAAGUUGGGCACUCUAGAGAGACUGCCAGGGAUAACCUGGAGGAAGGUGGGGAUGACGUCAAAUCAUCAUGCCCCUUAUGACUAGGGCUACACACGUGCUACAAUGGUGAUAACAAAGUGAAGCAGCCUCGUGAGAGUGAGCAAAUCACAAAAAUGUCAUCUCAGUUCGGAUUGUAGUCUGCAACUCGACUACAUGAAGCUGGAAUCGCUAGUAAUCGCGAAUCAGAAUGUCGCGGUGAAUACGUUCCCGGGUCUU
rnacentral:rRNA from 1 species